AUGCGCCAGUCCCCGGAUGCUACUCUGCUGCUGCCUUCCCCCUUGCUCAGGAGCAGCCCUAUUCUUGCUACUUUUCACUCUGAGGACCACCUCCAGGGCAACCAGGGAAGCUCCUGCAAUACAUGGAGAGGUUCAGCAGAGCACUGUGGAGCCUGCAGGGUGACCUCAGACCAUGUAGAGCAGCAGAGACUCAGUUAAAGGACACUCUACCUUGGGCUAUGACAUACCAGCUAAAGACUGGGAUUCUUCUUGCCUGCAUGAUUAAAUGCUAUCAAAUGAAGAUGUUAACGGCGAGCAGACCUGGCACAGAUCUAACCACUAACCACUAACAACAAUACAAGUACCUUGCACUUAAAUUAUGCACUUCCCAUCAGAAGAUUUCAAGGGCCUUUGCUGCACUGGAUAAGUGUAAUUAUUAAAGCUGGGAACUCCGCUAUGCUGGGGAAUUUAAUACUGAGGUCUGCCUGAGGGCAUAUGUCUUGUUGACUGUUGUGUUACCAUAACCCUUGUCAGUCCUGGGGUAGAGGUCCCUGCAGUGCUGUGCCUGUCGCUCCAGUCUGUCUUCAUGGACACAGAGGUCCCUGUCUGGGGCACCCCCAGCUUGAAACACCAGGUUCAGAAGAAGCAAAGUGGUGACCCAGCAGCUGGCUCAGGAGUGUCUCUGAUUCCGGUAAAUGAAUCAGUGCCAUGCUGUAAUUUUGAUGAAUUAGGAAAUGGUCACAAGAUGUUUCAGUCAUUGUCUGUGGUCAUGCAAUGGGGAAACAAAGGCACAGAGGUCCUGGUUAGUGUGUUAAGCACAUGGGCUGUGAUUCACCUGCCUUUGGGCGACUGGAAGAGGGAUACCCAGGGUUCUGGCUGUUGGAGCAAGAGCAUCCCUGUGGAGGGUCACUGCUCUGAGCUCCUUUGGGAUGGGAGGAACCCCCCUUGGGCAUGGCUGGCUUCUGAGGAUGCACGAAUUCCAGCUUGAUUGCCCCUCACCACAGACUGGAGGCUUUCACCCUCCUCCUGCAUCCUGCAUGGGGAGCACAGGCUGGUUCUUCCUAUGGGAGUAGCAGGGGUCACCCCUGCCAAAGAGCCUGUCUAAAAUCCUGCCUUGGUUUCAUCUUCAUAGCAACAUACAACUGUGAGGCAGCUUGAGCUGAGCGUAAAAGGGGUUUGCAGGACACCGUUUCCAAGCUCUUUACAAAGAAUGGCCUUUUUUAUUUUGACCUGUUUUCCAACAUUUCAUGGAAUCCCAGACUGGUUUGUGUUGAAGGGAUGUUAAGGCUCAACUGGUUCCAACCCAUGGGCAGGGACACCUUCCACUACAGCAGCUUGCUCCAAGCCCCAUCCAACCUAGCCUUGAACACUGCCAGGGAUGGGGCAACUAAAUGGUCUCAUCUUGUUAGUGUUGCCUUGAUAAUGAGUAAUGUUUAACAGCUCCUGCUCUGGGUGAUGCCGUAUUCCUAAAUCUCCAUUGUGUUCUGUGCCAGCAAAAGCAAGUACAAGCUGAUUUUCUGCUAUGACCUCCUUCAGCUAAACCAAGCAGAAGAGCUGCCACUGAGAGGAACGAUGCUUCAGGAGCAUCCUGGUGCUUCUGCGCCCUGAAAAGGGGUUUUCUGUACCCACUGCUCAAACUUUCUCAACUUUGUAUUGCCUGACACCACACCAGCCAUCCUCAGACCAAAGGAACUCAGUGUGCAGGCUGCCAAGAGCAAACCCCUGUGGAUACAGCUUGGAUGCAGUGGAAGAUGGAGCAGCAGAGAGGGCCCAACAUCUCUGCAGAGCCUCUUGCUAAGACUGGACAGCUUGCCCUGCAGCUGGAGAAACCUGCAGAUUGCUCUUGAAAGGCACUUGCAUGGCUUUUCCUUUGCUUGGCUGGAAUUUGAGCUUUCCUGGUGAUGCCCCCAGGUCCACUACUGCCCCAGGCUGCUUCCUUGCAUCAGUAAUGCUGUUACUCAGUGGCUGUGCUUUAGCCCUUGUGGUAUUUUCUUUCCUAAUAAAUCAGCUGAUAUUCUUGAUUUUCACAGCAAUAUUUCAGAGCUAAGUAGGAAUUCAGCUGCUAUUUAUACCAUAAAGCAAAUAA